rnacentral:rRNA from 1 species
AAGCGGUGGAUGAUGUGGAUUAAUUCGAUGACAACGCGAAAACCUUACCUACCCUUGACAUGUCCGGAAUCCCGAAGAGAUUUGGGAGUGCUCGCAAGAGAACCGGAACACAGGUGCUGCAUGGCUGUCGUCAGCUCGUGUCGUGAGAUGUUGGGUUAAGUCCCGCAACGAGCGCAACCCUUGUCAUUAGUUGCCAUCAUUUGGUUGGGCACUCUAAUGAGACUGCCGGUGACAAACCGGAGGAAGGUGGGGAUGACGUCAAGUCCUCAUGGCCCUUAUGGGUAGGGCUUCACACGUCAUACAAUGGUCGGUACAGAGGGUUGCCAACCCGCGAGGGGGAGCUAAUCCCACAAAGCCGAUCGUAGUCCGGAUCGCAGUCUGCAACUCGACUGCGUGAAGUCGGAAUCGCUAGUAAUCGUGGAUCAGCAUGCCACGGUGAAUACGUUCCCGGGUCUU